rnacentral:sRNA from 1 species
AGGAAAAAGAAGAAAGAAAACGUGUGAGAAACAAAAGAAAGAAAAA